GUUUACAGUUUCAAAUUACUACAUCCACAAAAUAUAUACCAAACUAUCCAUAUAUACAUCUCAAAUUCACUUUUCAAUAUAAAUUACUACUAUAUCUGAGUACAGUACUCUGGUUUCUAAUCCAAAUUUCCCAACCUCCAAUAGCUAGCUAACCUUCUGUACCAAUUCAUUUUUCUCCUUCAGUUAGUCACCACAAUAGCUAGCUAAUCUUGAGUCUUGUAAUCUACAUUUAAACCAAAAGUAAGGGGUAAAAAAAGGCCAGGUGCUAAAAGUUGGCAAAACUUUAGAAUUUUUUUUUUAUACAAUUCAGCAGAAGAAUGUGCAACACACCUGGAGUUCCCAGUUUGGCAUUGCCAUAUUGACUUCCAAAAUCCUGCUUUCUU
rnacentral:lncRNA from 1 species